UAGAAUGAAGAUUAAAUAAAGAUAUCUCUUUUAAUUAGAAUAAAUAGUUAUACCAGCAUCCUGGAAUAAAAUGGGGAUGGUUCUUAGCAUUGACUAGAGUUCUCAGCUUUCUGGCAGCCAAAGCAGAAAAAGACCCAAUGAAUUCAUAGUUAUCAUUGAUGACAUAUCUUCUUGUAUUUGCUUCCAGGGAAUCAUGCUUGUUGGUGAUGGAUACAGAGGAAAAACUUCACCCCAUACGCCCAAUGAAAAGUUUGAAGGUGCAACUGUCCUGAAAGCACUCAAAUCUGGUUAUGAAGGUCGAGUCCCACUGAAGAGCGCUCGUCUGUUUUAUGAUAUCAGCGAAAAGGCUCGAAGGAUUGUAGAGUCUUAUUUUAUGCUGAACUCAACUCUGUAUUUUUCCUAUACGCACAUGGUCUGCCGAACAGCCCUGUCUGGUCAGCAGGAUAGAAGAAAUGACCUCAGUCAUCCCAUCCAUGCUGACAACUGUUUGUUGGAUCCAGAGGCCAACGAAUGCUGGAAGGAGCCUCCUGCUUACACAUUUCGAGACUAUAGGUAUAGCUAGAACCUGCUUCAAAACAAAGCUUUUACCCAAGAAUUUUCAAACAAUGAAAACUGGAAAGGUGCUCUGUUUUGCCUGACGUCGUGUUCAUAUCUCCAAGGCAGAAAUUCUCAAAUAAUCUUCUGAAGCAGCUGCCAUAACCAAUAAGUGACAUUAUCAUCUCACUUUUAUCUUAAAAAUUGUGCACAUUUUGCAUCCCAUUUCACAAAAUGUCCAUUUGUUUUAAUACGAAAAGUAAAUUUUAUGUUCUUUUAAAAAAAUUCCUGUUCUCCCUGGAACAUAUUCCUUGUGGUAUGUGUAUUUCAGUCAGAAUACAAGGGCAUGGAGUCUUGGU
rnacentral:sRNA from 1 species